GACGAAGGGGGCUAGCGUUGUUCGGAAUUACUGAGCGUAAAGCGCGUGUAGGCGGUUGCCCAAGUCGGGUGUGAAAGCCUUGAGCUCAACUCAAGAAAUGCACUCGGUACUGGGUGACUAGAGGACCGGAGAGGAUAGUGGAAUUCCCAGUGUAGUGGUGAAAUACGUAGAGAUUGGGAAGAACACCAGUGGCGAAGGCGGCUAUCUGGACGGUUUCUGACGCUAAGACGCGAAAGCGUGGGGAGCAAACAGG
rnacentral:rRNA from 1 species